UACGUAGGGGGCUAGCGUUGUUCGGAAUCAUUGGGCGUAAAGAGCGCGUAGGCGGCCAGAUAAGUCCGGCGUGAAAGUCACAGGCUCAACCUGUGAAUGCCGCUGGAAACUGUCUGGCUAGAGUCCGGGAGGGGAGAGUGGAAUUCCUGGUGUAGCGGUGAAAUGCGCAGAUAUCAGGAGGAACACCAAUGGCGAAGGCAGCUCGCUGGAACGGUACUGACGCUGAGGCGCGAAAGCGUGGGGAGCAAACAGG
rnacentral:rRNA from 1 species